GGUCCGGAAAAACUGUGGCUGUGUGGGUUGCUAGGAGAGACUGAUCGAGAAUAAGGAGAAAAAGAUUUUCGCGCCUCUCUGUGGGCAAACGGCGGAGUGGUGGAAUCGCGGUUUGGUGGCGUCUUGCAGGGGGUAUAAAAGGCGGUCCGCUGGCGUCAGCCGCUCAUAGCAAGUGAGACUCUAAGUGCAAUUUCAACUUAGACAUUUCGAACUUAAUCCCGUGAGGAGUGAUUCAAGCCCCUUGCAACAGCAGUGGCUCAAAGGCGGCAAGCGACAGCGACGCGGAAGAGCGAUCUCGGAGCACCACGACGAGUAUUGCCAAAGAGGGUAGCUCUACCACGGCGGCGAGCCUGGAUUGUGGCAACCACACCCAAGAGUUGGCGCAAGCAAACCACGGCGCUUCUAAGCGCCAAUCAACAAAGAGAAUUGCACAGGCGCAUUUGUUUGUUUAGCGCAAGCGUUUUUUUUUUUGGAUCAGCCGCCAGCGGCAAGGCCGUAUCGAGGUUUUCCCUCAAACGCGGCGUUCCACAGGGCAGCACACUGUGCUUUUCCUUAAUGUGAUGAAAACACUGAAAUCCACCAAUUAAUAUUCCUGACCACCUGAAGAAGGUCAACAUGAUUAGUUAA